rnacentral:tRNA from 1 species
GCCUGGGUGGCUCAGUCGGUUAAGCAUCCGACUUCGCUCGGGUCAUGAUCUCAUGGUUCAUGGGUUCGAGCCCCGUGUCAGGCU